rnacentral:lncRNA from 1 species
CUGAGGAAUAAAAUAAUAAUUAGUUUCACUGCAAGUAAUGAUACAUCUUGGAACAGGGAACCAAACUUCUGUGCCUUCUAUUUUCCUUUCUCUUCCUCAGACUAAAUGAAUUUGAUUAGAGAUUGGAACAAAGUGCUGGAAGUUUUCAUUUUACUAAUUAUGGAGGCAGCAGCGCCUCUGUAA